UUGCUCUCAGCUGCUAGCGGUUUAGACGCUGAUUAUGUCCGCAUAUAUACGGCGCGCCUCCCAGCACACAACGCGGAAGAUUAAAUGUUUAGAGUUAGUUUAGCUCGUAUCAUAGUCACGGUCCAUGUUUAGAGUUAGUUCGCGCUGGAUUAUCCGCUUCCAGUCCCUCGUCAUAGUUCGUUUCUUGUUUUGUUUAUCGACCCUGUUUUCCGUGACCACGACCUAGAUUCCUGCCUUGCCCCGUGUAUGCCUGUUUGCCAAUCGCCUGACCUCUUGCAUGUUUAUGGAUUACGUUUUGGAUCACGUUUUGGAUUUGUCUGCCUGUCUGUCUUUCAAAUAAACAACUGUUCAUCCUGCACUUGCAUCCGUCCUAUCUCUGCUCCGUCACGAUUCGUGACAGAAUCUUCCACCAAAACAUGGAUGCAGCAGGAGAACGGAGGAGACGCAGAACCCGGAAGUCGACGCCAACCGUCCCCGCUAUGGACUCCGUCCACUUCCCACAAUGGACAUUUAUGGAGCUUCCUGAUCCAUUUGAUGGAUUUUUCGGUGCCCCUGAGUAUUUUCUGGUAGACUGUCAAUACUAUUUCGCCAGCCUGUUAGACCCUAAGCCAGAGGAGAAGCAAUGGCUCCGAUUCAUGUGGUCCCGGUUCUUUGGACCGGCCCGUCAAUGGGUGCAGCUAAAACUGGAUAAGCACUGUAGGAACCUGGACGGUGUAAAACAGUUUGUGGGGGAAUUCAUGGUGCGAUUCGGGAGUCCGGAGGCAAAGGACGAGCUAGAGCAACUUCUCAGGGGGGUAAGUCUGGCAGGCGAACCUGCCCUGCUGUUUACCUACUACUACAGGCAACUUCAUGUAGAGCUCAACUCUGAAAUCCAAGUCAAGCCUCCAGUCCCUGAGAUCCAAGUCAAGCCUCCAGUCCCUGAGAUCCAAGUCAAGCCUCCAGUCCCUGAGAUCCAAGUCAAGCCUCCAGUCCCUGAAAUCCAAGCCAAGUCUCAAGUCCCUGAAAUCCAAGUCCAAGCCAAGUCUCAAGUCCCUGAAAUCCAAGCCAAGCCUCCAGGCUCUGACGUCCAAGCCAAGCCUCCAGGCUCUGACGUCCAAGCCAAGCCUCCAGGCUCUGACGUCCAAGCCAAGCCUCCAGUCCCUGAGAUCCAAGCCAAGCCUCCAGUCCCUGAGGUCCAAGUCAAGCCUCCAGUCCCUGAGGUCCAAGUCAAGCCUCCGGUCCCUGAGGUCCAAGUCAAGCCUCCAGUCUCUGAGGUCCAAGCCAAGUCUCAAGUCCCUGAAAUCCAAGUCCAAGCCAAGCCUCCAGGCUCUGACGUCCAAGCCAAGCCUCCAGGCUCUGACGUCCAAGCCAGGCCUCCGGUCCCUGAGGUCCAAGCCAGGCCUCCGGUCCCUGAGGUCCAAGCCAGGCCUCCGGUCCCUGAGGUCCAAGCCAGGCCUCUCGUCCCUGAGGUCCAAGCCAAGUCUCACGGCCCUGAGCUCACGUUCAAGCCUGCUGAUCCAGUUGACCAAGCUCUGCUCACGCCACAGUCUGCUGACACGCCCCGCCAAGCUCUGCUCAUGCCACAGUCUGCUGACACGCCCCGCCAAGCUCUGCUCACGCCACAGUCUGCUGACAUGGCCACCCAAGCUCCACCCAUGCCCAAGGUUCACCUGGUGACCUCAGAGCCUCAGCCCCCCUGUUCAGCUGUGGGCGUCGCUCAGCCUCCCUGUUCAGCUGUGGGCGUCGCUCAGCCUCCCUGUUCAGCUGUGGGCGUCGCUCAGCCUCCCUGUUCAGCUGUGGGCAUCGCUCAGCCUCCCUGUUCAGCUGUGGACGUCGCUCAGCCUUCCUGCUCCAUGGCAAACAUCGUUCCCCCCUUCUGCUUCGAGGAGACCCACGCUCCUCUCCCUGGCCGCGAGGAGACCCACGCUCCUCUCCCUGGCCGCGAGGAGACCCACGCUCCUCUCCCUGGCCUUACUGGGGACGUCGUUCUACCUACAUGCUCCGCCGAGGACGUCGCCCUGCUUCUCUGCUCUGCUGAGUACAGUGCUCUGUUUCCCUGCUCCGCCAAGGACGUCACUCUGCCUUCAUGCUCCGACGAGGACGUCGCCCUGCUUCCCUGCUCUGCUGAGUACAGUGCUCUGUUUCCCUGCUCCGCCGUGGACGUCGCUCUGCUUUCAUGCUCCGACGAGGACGUCGCUCAGCCUCCCUGUUCAGCCAGGGUCGUCGCUCCGCUUCCCUACGCCGCCAAGAACACCGGGCCGUUUACUGGCUCUGCUUGGGACAUUCAGCCCAGGGGGCCGGGGCCGCCAAUGAAGUGGGAUGACUCAUGGCACUCCGGGAGGAGUGCCUUUCGGGGGGGGUGGUUCUGUCACGAUUCCCCCUUGAAGCAGCGUGCUCUAAGCGCGAAUGUGCGAGCACCUGCUUUUCCAUUGUUGACUGUAAUGACAUCUGGACACGUGUGUUUUGUUUAUGUUUCUGUCACCUCCCUGUUCUGUCAUUGGCUGGGAUUUCACGUGGGUCUGAAUUGCUCUCAGCUGCUAGCGGUUUAGACGCUGAUUAUGUCCGCAUAUAUACGGCGUGCCUCCCAGCACACAACGCGGAAGAGUAAAUGUUUAGAGUUAGUUUAGCUCGUAUCAUAGUCAUAGUCACGGUCCAUGUUUAGAGUUAGUUCGCGCCGGAUUAUCCGCUUCCAGUCCCUCGUCAUAGUUCGUUUCUUGUUUUGUUUAUCGACCCUGUUUUCCGUGACCACGACCUAGAUUCCUGCCUUGCCCCGUGUAUGCCUGUUUGCCAAUCGCCUGACCUCUUGCAUGUUUAUGGAUUACGUUUUGGAUCACGUUUUGGAUUUGUCUGUCUGUCUUUCAAAUAAACAACUGUUCAUCCUGCACUUGCAUCCGUCCUAUCUCUGCUCCGUCACGAUUCGUGACACCUAUGCGGUCCUUUGAUCAGUCGCUUUUAGAUGAGCGUCAUAGCAGCAGUCACGAGCAGAAAUUAAUAAAUUUUCUUACAAAGUCAUAUGCUUUUUUAGUAAUCAUAGUGACACUAAAUCAGCUGCAGGUAAACACAUCACAUUGUGUGUCCUAAGACUUCCAUUCUCAACUCAUGAUCCCCAAAUAUUUUUAAGACAUACCAUUUUUGUCUGCGACAGCAAAAUUGGGCCUAAAUUUGCAGUGUAAAGCUGGAUUUACAAACUUUCCACAGGUACUAUAUUACCUACCACCUCUUCAGUUCGGUGAAAUGGCAGUUUUCAGACCUAUAGAUGUCUUUAUUUUCCACUACCAUCAUACAAGAUCAGCAACUUCCUAAUGACAUCUUUGUUCAGAAUAGCAACCAG
ensembl:lncRNA